CUUGACUCUUAUAAGAGGUCCAGCCUGCCCAGUGACCAUGUUCAACGGCCGCGGUAUCCUAACCGUGCGAAGGUAGCGUAAUCACUUGUUCUUUAAAUGCGGACUAGUAUGAAUGGCACCACGAAGGUUAUACUGUCUCCUUUUUCUAAUCAGUGAAACUAAUCUCCCCGUGAAGAAGCAAGGAUAUACCUAUAAGACGAGAAGACCCUAUGGAGCUUUAAACAACACAGCAAUUACCUGCUAAACUAAGAAGUUUCUGAACAUUUUCAAUCUUUUAAGUAAUCUGACUGCAAGUUUUUGGUUGGGGUGACCACGGAGCAUAACACAACCUCCAUGUUGAAAGAAUUCUUUCUAAGCCAAGAACAACCUUUCUAAGCAUCAAUAUAUUGACAUCCAUUGACCCAAUACAUUUGACCAACGAAC
rnacentral:rRNA from 1 species